rnacentral:rRNA from 1 species
GAUGAACGCUGGCGGCGUGCCUAAUACAUGCAAGUCGAGCGAACAGACGAGGAGCUUGCUCCUCUGACGUUAGCGGCGGACGGGUGAGUAACACGUGGAUAACCUACCUAUAAGACUGGGAUAACUUCGGGAAACCGGAGCUAAUACCGGAUAAUAUAUUGAACCGCAUGGUUCAAUAGUGAAAGACGGUUUUGCUGUCACUUAUAGAUGGAUCCGCGCCGCAUUAGCUAGUUGGUAAGGUAACGGCUUACCAAGGCGACGAUGCGUAGCCGACCUGAGAGGGUGAUAGGCCACACUGGAACUGAGACACGGUCCAGACUACUACGGGAGGCAGCAGUAGGGAAUCUUCCGCAAUGGGCGAAAGCCUGACGGAGCAACGCCGCGUGAGUGAUGAAGGUCUUCGGAUCGUAAAACUCUGUUAUUAGGGAAGAACAAAUGUGUAAGUAACUAUGCACGUCUUGACGGUACCUAAUCAGAAAGCCACGGCUAACUACGUG